GUGGGAGGGGGCUUGCUCCCGAUGGCGGAGCGUCAGUCACUGAAUCUAUUGGCUGACCCACUGCUAUCGGGAGCAAGCCCCCUCCCAC
rnacentral:misc_RNA from 1 species